AAGGAAGCUGAGUAGAAAUAGAACCAAACCAAGGGAAGAGAGGAAAGAUUGGAGGAAGGGAGAAAGGCAGCCAGUUCCUUCCUCUUCCGUGCGCAAAGUCGCACAAAGAGCAGCCUGUUUCUUUCUCCACCAUGCGCAGAGCCGCGCAACACAGUUCCUUCUUCCACCGCGUACAGAGACGCAAAGAAGCUCUCGGUUUCCUUCUUCUUCAGCUGCACGCAGAGCCAAGCAACCAAUUCUGGUUCCUUCUUCCUCCGUGCGUAGAGACGUGCGAAGAUAUGGUUGUCCCAACUUCUUCUUCCGCUGUGCGAAGAGCUGCACGAUCCAGUUUCACUUCUGCUGCGCGCAGAGUCGCACGCGGAAGCUUUUCUGGCUGUGAUCUGCUUCUUUUUCUGGCCACCCUGUACUGCAAUCUGCCCAAGCCGAGGAAGUCAUUGAGCCUAGCGGAUUUCAGCCUGAGCUGAGCCACUGCACCAGGCCGAGCCAAUUUUUAGCCGAGCCGCUUUUGAGCCGAGCCAUUUUCGAGCUUGUAAGGAACGGGCACCUACUGCUUGUAGGCAUGUAUCUCAAGAAGUUGGUUUCUUAAGAUUGUCACCAUCUUUGGAACCAAUGAGAGGUAACAGAUGUUGGCCACCUGUAGAUGCCACCUCCUUUGGAGGUACCAUCAAAAUCCAGUACUUAAAAUGACAAAUAAAAUAUAAGCUUCUACAUCAUCCUACCAGUAGUAAAGGUGACGUCACCUCGUUCGACCAGCCGGAGUCAAGAUACCACCUCAUAAAAAGAAAGGAACAGUCUCAACAAAUUACAAAUGACAUUCAACUUAUAUUGUCGAGCCUAUCAGUAAAUGUAAAUUCUUUUGGUGCAUGGGAUGGUCCUCCAUCACAAUCUUAACGCUGAAUCUAGAAACAAGAAUGGAUAGGAAAGGUGAAAGAAA